CAGUCGCCGCGGUAAUACGUAGGUGGCAAGCGUUGUCCGGAAUUAUUGGGCGUAAAGGGCUCGCAGGCGGUUUCUUAAGUCUGAUGUGAAAGCCCCCGGCUCAACCGGGGAGGGUCAUUGGAAACUGGGAAACUUGAGUGCAGAAGAGGAGAGUGGAAUUCCACGUGUAGCGGUGAAAUGCGUAGAGAUGUGGAGGAACACCAGUGGCGAAGGCGGCUCACUGGCUCAUACUGGACGCUGAGGUACGAAAGCGUGGGGAGCAAACAGGAUUAGAUACCCCUGUAGUCCCUGUCUCUUAUAC
rnacentral:rRNA from 1 species